rnacentral:rRNA from 1 species
UACGUAGGGUGCGAGCGUUGUCCGGAAUUACUGGGCGUAAAGAGCUCGUAGGCGGUUGUGUCGCGUCGGCCGUAGAAAACCCGUGCAGCUUAACUGUGGGCGUGCGGUCGAUACGGGCAUCACUGGAGUUCGGCAGGGGAGACUGGAAUUCCUGGUGUAGCGGUGAAAUGCGCAGAUAUCAGGAGGAACACCGGUGGACGAAGGCGGGUCUCUGGGCCGAUACUGACGCUGAGGAAGCGAAAGGCCGUGGGGAGCAAACAGG